CUGGUAAAUCUGUCGCUCCAGUCAGUGAGGCAGCGAAGGGCAAGCCGCGCGCCGUUGACCGUGUCUCUGCUUCUUUUUUCGUCUACUCAGCUGCCAAUGCUACGAUUCGUGGUGUACACAAGCAAGACGACGGAACGCUACAACUCCGGAGCUCUUGCAUUGUAACCGACGGCUGCUGGAUUACACGUCUCUUCAAUGGAUCCGAUUAUACUAG